GCUUCCCUGGCUCAGUUGGUUAGAGCGCCAGUCUCAUAUAUUGUGAUCAAGCGUGGCUUGAGUAAUCUGGAGGUCAUGAGUUCGACCCUCAUGGGGAGCA